rnacentral:sRNA from 1 species
GGAGGCGGCGACGCCCCCCCCGACUUGAGGCCGGCGACACGCCGGUCUGCCGUCUCCGCAACCCCUUUUCUCGAUGAUGCACACUGGGCGGGUCGAAAGACCCGCCC